GCCGAGGUGGCGUAAUUGGUAGCCGCACAGCGCUUAAAACGCUGAGAGGUCUUAAAAACCUCAUGUGGGUUCGACCCCCACCCUCGGCA
rnacentral:tRNA from 1 species